UGGAUGAUUUUGUAACUCCAUUUCCUUCUCCCCUGGUUCGAGCGAAGUGUGGGCUACAGGGCGGAGGGGCGAUGACAAUGGAGCCCUCGCCCCGCCGCGCUAGGGUUGGCGAGCCGGCGGCGGACCCGCUGACGUCCCUCCCGCCGCCCCUGCUCGACGGCAUCCUCACCCGCCUCGACCUCCCUUACGCGGUCCGUACCUCCGCCCUCUCUCGCGCCUGGCGCCGCCGGUGGGAGGCCCUCCCCUACCUCUGCCUCUCCUUCGUCGACAACCCCGGCACGGCCCCCUUGGCUGUCGACCGCGUUCUCGCUCGCUACCCCGGCCGCAUCUCCAACUUCUCCUUCCACGUCGACGAGCACUCCUUCGGCCGCGUCGAUGACUGGCUCGUCGCCCUCUGCGACCGCGGCGUCAGGUCCAUCAACCUCCGAUGCGCCUCCCCCUUCAUCCUCCACUCCUCCCUCUUCCUAUGCGCCCAACUCACGCACCUCAAGCUGCACCAAUGCGGCCUGCCGUCUCUCCCAGUGGGAUUCACUGGAUUCCCCAUGCUCAAGGUUCUAAAACUCGGCCUUGUCGAUUUCCCGGAGAACGGGGAGAGCCAACUGGAGGCGAUUCUUGUCGGGUCACCCUUGCUUGAAACCCUGAAUCUUCACUUUGUGGAUGUCCGUGGGAAUGACGCGUACUCAAACGCGUGGGUGAUUCGCGGGGCCAACCUCCGGAGCCUAACGAUAAGUUCUGACUUUGAUUAUGACUGGCAAGUUAAGGAGCUGCCAUGCAUCGAUGAAGUCGCCAUCGAUGUUGGAAACUAUGUGAGUAAUAUCAAGUUCAGAGGAUUUCUUGCCAGCUUUGCGCAAGUUAGGAAGCUCUCUCUCUGUGCGUGCUACACAUCGUUUACUGGAGGUGGUCUCCUGGAAACACUUCCAUGUACCUUUGACAACUUAAAGAGUUUGACCCUCUGGACACAUUUCUACGAAAUGCCUGCCAUAGUGUUAACCUUUUGCUUACUAAGGAAUGCUCCUAAUCUAGAAGAACUUGAAAUUACGAGUUCUAAAUACACAAUGGACUGAUGCCUUCUGUGCCAACCUUCAGGUUGUGAAAAUGAAAAAUAUUGGCUGGUUGCAAAAUGAAAUGUAUUUCAUAGAGCUCGUUUUAUCUAAAGCAGCAGUUCUUCGCACAAUGCAUCUUAGUCUUGGUUGCAGAAGAUCAAAGUCAAAUGAGGAUGCACUCUGUGAACUAAUGACAUAUAGAAGGGCUUCAACCCAUGCUCGAGUCUUCUUUGACGGUAAAAUGAAAUGAGCUGCUACAUAGAGACGUGUCUUCCAUGCAAUUCUGGGAAUGGGCGCUGAUUACGUUCAGAUGGCUCACUUGCGUAAGACGGUGUCUGUUUAUCCCUUGAUCUUCUCUAACUAUGUACCUUGGGCGGCUGGGCUGUUAAAGAUAUGUAUCCUGAAGAAAAUGGUUGUCGUCAUGAGCUACUUUACUGCUCCGUUUGGCGCAUAAUUAUGUCUUGUAUGACCUGCAAAACUCUCCUUAAGAGAGAACUCUUGCAAUGUGAUUUUCCAAUGAAAACUUGCUGUGCACCAUUAGUUUAA